rnacentral:lncRNA from 1 species
AUGGCAACUGAUCUCAUUCAAUCAUCUCCUCUAGUUGAGCUCUUUGGGUUUGGUUGACCACUUGUGUUAAACGAGUAAUUAAUUCUACCGAGCAAACCAAGGUCGUUAGAUGUCUUGGAUUGGAACUUGCAGUCCGGAAUAGCUGGAGUGGUCAUGGGUCAACUGGAGGGAGCCAUGUGUUUAAAGUUUAACUUUGGUUUACUAUUUGCUUCCGCUGAACAUGUGGUUUUCAUUUAAACUCGUUAACGGUAUAUUUCAUUAAUAAUUGAGGAUUUUAUUUU